rnacentral:lncRNA from 1 species
AAUACUUCUACCUUGCCCUCCCCAACGAUGUUCUUCGCAAUGUUGCCCGCUUUAGGCUUCGUGUCCAUACUCUUCGGUAUGAAACAUCUACUUGGAAUCAGGGUUCUUCCUCUCAUUGUGAUUUGUGUCAGGAUGUAGAUUGUAUUCAAGAUGAAAAACAUGUUAUUUUUCACUGUACUCACCCCCAUGUCGUUGCAUUGCGUGCUAAGUAUGCCUUUCUAUUCAAUAACCAGGAGGCUCAAGAUGUUCGUAAUUUUCUUCUUCAAGAUAAUAAUAAACUUGUAUAUUUUAUCCAUGAAAUUGUUA